rnacentral:lncRNA from 1 species
AAUUAAAUAAGGUUUCUAUGAUAUCUAAAGUUCUAUUAAUUUGAUCAAGGUGAAAUUUUUCAUGGUAGUAGAAGACUUCAAGAUUAAGCUAUAUACCAAUUUUGAGUUGAAAUUAAUAGUUAGAGAAGGAGAAAUUGCUACUGGAAUUUUUGCAUCAACUUUUAAGUUGGUAGCCAAGUAAUAUUAGUGCGGUUUUUGGGCUUUUGCUCACAAUCUAUAUGUUGGAAUGAGCUAAAUUUUUUUGAGCGUGUAGAAGACUUAUAGUAGCAUUUGUAUACAAAAUUUUGUACUAAGUAGAUGGUAAAAUUAGGAGUUAUAUCUUAUUGAAAUUCAUUGGCUAGGGUUAGGACUUGCAAGGAGAAAUUGAAAUUGCCUAAUUAUCAAAGUAACAAGGCAAU